CGACGUAGUUUGAUCAGUGGCCUACAGGANACGCUGGCGGCGUGCUUAACACAUGCAAGUCGAGCGGGGACAUGGAGAAGCUUGCUUCGAAAUGUUCUAGCGGCGGACGGGUGAGUAACGCGUGAGCAACCUUUCCUCUACUGGGGAAUAACACAGGGAAACUUGUACUAAUACCGCAUGAGACCACAGAGCUGCAUGGCUUAGGGGUCAAAGAUUUAUCGGUAGAGGGUGGGCUCGCGUCUGAUUAGGUAGUUGGUGAGGUAACGGCCCACCAAGCCGACGAUCAGUAGCCGACCUGAGAGGGUGAUCGGCCACAUUGGGACUGAGACACGGCCCAAACUCCUACGGGAGGCAGCAGUGGGGAAUAUUGGGCAAUGGGGGAAACCCUGACCCAGCAACGCCGCGUGGAGGAAGAAGGUUUUCGGAUCGUAAACUCCUGUCCUCAGGGAAGAGCAGAAGACGGUACCUGAGGAGGAAGCCCCGGCUAACUACGUG
rnacentral:rRNA from 1 species